CCCUUAGAUGCUCUGGGCCGCACGCGCGCUACACUGAUGCAUUCAACGAGUUUCUUCCUGGUCCGAGAGGAAUGGGUAACCUUUUGAAAGUGCAUCGUGAUAGGGAUAGACUAUUGCAAUUAUUGGUCUUCAACGAGGAGUUCCUAGUAGACGUAGUUCAUCAGACUGCAUCGAUUACGUCCCUGCCCUUUGUACACACCGCCCGUCGCUCCUACCGAUUGAAUGCUCAGGUGAGCCAUUCGGACUUUCAUCAUGCUGGUUUCCAGUUUUGAUGAAGGAAAGUCUUGCGAACCUUAUCAUUUAGAGGAAGGAGAAGUCGUAACA
rnacentral:rRNA from 1 species